rnacentral:tRNA from 1 species
CCCGUUGGUCAAGUGGUUAAGACACCGCCCUUUCACGGCGGUAACACGGGUUCGAAUCCCGUACGGGUCACU